ensembl:lncRNA
GGAGAGGGAAGCACUGCCCCCCCCAACGCUCAGCAUGCCUCAGUUUCCCCACUGGGGAGGAAGGACCACACUAAGUCCUGGGAUUUCCCAGCAGGCUGUCCUCACUGGCCCCAGAGCCUCGUCUUCUGGGUGGUACAGGGCAGAGGGACAGGAAGGGCCUUGAGGGGUCUCCGGGUCUCUGUGUCCAUGGCACUGGGAAGAAACAUCUGGAUUCAGAAACAGAAGUAGCUGCCGAUCUUCUCUGAGGAAUAGUCAAAGAUUUUAAAAGUGAGAUCCCCUGAUAUUAAGAAAGAUCUAACUACCACCCAGCACCGGAACAGUCCCUAAAUCACUUCAACCACGUCAUCCUGACAGCAUGGAAGGAAAACACAGCUGAGCCAGGGCUCUGGCUUUGAACAAGGCAGAGGGUCCCAGGCCAGGAACAAGGCCUGGCUUCUGGGAGACGGCGGGCGGCCAGGCUACCACUAUCUCACCGGCCAGCCGGCUCCCCAACAUCCUGGAGGCUCAGGCUGACAGCAGCGCCCUGACACUGGCCACAGGUGGCAGCUGGAGGCCAUGCGGGCCUGAGCCUCCCCUGCCCACGCCAUGGGCCGCAUCCGGGAGCCGCGUGAGAAGAGUCCUGGGUGGCGGCCAGCGCUCCCAGCGUCUUGGAGCGAUGUUAUCACUGCAGGAACAUUCCAGAAGCAACACGCCUGGUGUUUGUUCAGCUCCUGGCUCCGAGUGGCACAGGAGCCCGUCUGCCUGGCCCAGCCGGGAGCCAUGUCUGUGCCUGUGUCCCACCCUGCCCGCCAGGCUGCCCAGCCAUGGACCUCCCUUUGUGGAGACAAGUCACACUGGCUGUGGACUGGGCGGCCGCCAGCUCCGCACCCCAGGAAUGGCGCGCGUGGCCCCACACAAGCUCUGGGCCCGCGGCCCUGAAGACUCGCCGGACACUGAGCUCCUCCCGAGGUCCUUCUGCGAGGCCACACAGAGGUGGACACAUCCAGGGAGGCCAGCGUGGGGUGCCCCAGGGGGCUUCCAUCUGCUGUUUACCCUUGGAAUCAGAAAACGGACUGAAGGCUUUGGGUUUAAAAAGCAUGAACACCACUCAACUGUAAAACUUUUCCACUUAAGUUUAUUAGAAAGUAAUUCAUGUUCACUCAUUCUGCAAAGAG